AUUGAACGCUGGCAGCAGGCUUAACACAUGCAAGUCGAGCGGAGAUGAGGUGCUUGCACCUUAUCUUAGCGGCGGACGGGUGAGUAAUGCUUAGGAAUCUGCCUAUUAGUGGGGGACAACAUUCCGAAAGGAAUGCUAAUACCGCAUACGUCCUACGGGAGAAAGCAGGGGAUCGUCGGACCUUGCGCUAAUAGAUGAGCCUAAGUCGGAUUAGCUAGUUGGUGGGGUAAAGGCCUACCAAGUCGACGAUCUGUAGCGGGUCUGAGAGGAUGAUCCGCCACACUGGGACUGAGACACGGCCCAGACUCCUACGGGAGGCAGCAGUGGGGAAUAUUGGACAAUGGGGGGAACCCUGAUCCAGCCAUGCCGCGUGUGUGAAGAAGGCCUUAUGGUUGUAAAGCACUUUAAGCGAGGAGGAGGCUACUGAGACUAAUACUCUUGGAUAGUGGACGUUACUCGCAGAAUAAGCACCGGCUAACUCUGUGCCAGCCGCCGCAGUAACAC
rnacentral:rRNA from 1 species